rnacentral:sRNA from 1 species
UUUUUUUUGGGAAAAAGGCGAAUUAUGAAUCCAACUAUGCGUUUUCUCUACCGUAUUUCAAAACUUUAACCAAUUAUGCGUUUUCUCUACCGUAUUUCAAAACUUUAACCAAUUAUGCGUUUUCUCUACCGUUGGGUUUUCAUGCUUGUGCUUCGAUGCCGAAGUCGGUUGCUCUGAUAGCUCUGGAGGAUGCUAAUGGAUCGGUGCGGUUACGUACGGUUCAGAUGUAGUUUAUUUUCUUUUUUUUGUUGUUGUUUUUAGUUUUCUAUUUGGGGGGUUUCCCCCUUCCCCUACUAAAAAAGGUAUAAAUCCAGUAACCCAAAUUUAUAAGAAUUUUAGAUUAUUUUUUACAAAUCUUAAAUGAAUAACGCAAAACUUUAACAAAAUUUUAAAA